rnacentral:rRNA from 1 species
AUUGAACGCUGGCGGCAGGCCUAACACAUGCAAGUCGAGCGGAUGAAGGGAGCUUGCUCCUGGAUUCAGCGGCGGACGGGUGAGUAAUGCCUAGGAAUCUGCCUGGUAGUGGGGGAUAACGUCCGGAAACGGGCGCUAAUACCGCAUACGUCCUGAGGGAGAAAGUGGGGGAUCUUCGGACCUCACGCUAUCAGAUGAGCCUAGGUCGGAUUAGCUAGUUGGUGGGGUAAAGGCCUACCAAGGCGACGAUCCGUAACUGGUCUGAGAGGAUGAUCAGUCACACUGGAACGGGGACACGGUCCAGACUACUACGGGAGGCAGCAGAGGGGAAUAUUGGACAAUGGGCGAAAGCCUGAUCCAGCCAUGCCGCGUGUGUGAAGAAGGUCUUCGGAUUGUAAAGCACUUUAAGUUGGGAGGAAGGGCAGUAAGUUAAUACCUUGCUGUUUUGACGUUACCAACAGAAUAAGCACCGGCUAACUUCGUG